UCGCCUCUUGCUAACUACACAUAAGAGGUCCUGCCUGCCCUGUGACCCCUGGUUCAACGGCCGCGGUAUUUUGACCGUGCAAAGGUAGCGCAAUCACUUGUCUCUUAAAUGAGGACCUGUAUGAAUGGCACAACGAGGGCUUAACUGUCUCCUUUUCCCGGUCAGUGAAAUUGAUCUUCCCGUGCAGAAGCGGGAAUCCUAACAUAAGACGAGAAGACCCUAUGGAGCUUUAGACUUUCGAACAGAUCAUGUAAGCUACCCCCAUGAAAUGGGUAAUAACUAUUGAAUUCCUGUUCUCCUGUCUUUGGUUGGGGCGACCACGGGGAAGAAAAAAACCCCCAUGUGGACCAGGAGCACAUUACUCCUACAACCAUGAGCCACAGCUCUAAUGCACAAAACCUUUGACCAUUAGAUCCGGCAAAGCCGAUCAACGGACCAAGUUACCCUAGGGAUAACAGCGCAAUCCCCUUUAAGAGUCCAUAUCGACAAGGGGGUUUACGACCUCGAUGUUGGAUCAAGACAUCCUAAUGGUGCAGCCGCUAUUAAGGGUUCGUUUGUUCAACGAUUAAAGUCUUACGUGAUCUG
rnacentral:rRNA from 1 species